UAUGACCCUUACAGUAAGGUUGAUGAAGAUCAUAUUCUGAGGAGACUUCAGCCCAGAGGCACCUGGUAUCUAACUGUACUUGGUUCUCUUGCAACCACUCAGCGAGAGUAUGUCGCAUUACAUGCAUUUUGCCGUCUCAAUUCACAGAUGCAAACUGCAAUCUUAAAGCCCAGUCCUGAUCAUUUCCCAAAAUACGAGGAACAGACCCCUGC
rnacentral:misc_RNA from 1 species